GGGUGCUCCAUUUGAGCCGACAGAUACAUAUGACUAUAACGAUGAUGGCUAUAAAAGCGACGACACCACCAACUAUGCCAAUUAUUAAAGUAUCGUCUGUACUCGACACAUUUCCAACGGUAACACUGCUGGUUCAGCCGUUGUUGAUCUCGAGGAAGGUGUCAUUUCUGUUGUUUGAUAUCUGCUAAGGGUCGUCCGAUCACAAGUAAGAUAUUCCUCGGUAAGAUUAUUCAAUAACAUUCCUGAUACAUAAUCAGGAGUCAUACAAAUAACAUUAGAUGCUCUAUUGCCUAAUCCUUUUAACCAUCUCCAAAGAUGUUUCGUUUCACAGUUACAAUUAAUAGGAUUACUAUCCAAACCAUGAAUUUAUUUCCAGUUAUAUCCAAUGAGACUACUGUAGAACGUGGUACCGGGAAAAAAAGAGCUGCUGGUAUCGUGUCAACGGAUGUAUUUUUCAGACCAAGGGACAAUGAAGGUACACGUACACCCACCAACGAACUCGAAAGUACGGAGGAAGUAGGAGACCGAUGUUUCAUGAGAGACAAUUGUCUUGUGAGAACUUAAAAAUGAAGUUCAUUGUUCUUUAGAGGUCGACCACUUCUUCCGUGUAACUAAACAUCAUACUUUCGUAGAAAUAAUAAACUAGUGCGAAGACACGCGUUAAAUUCCCACCUAUUAAUGAUGUAGAUGAGUUUGAUAUAGUAGCGAUUUCGAAGAUUAUAAUUUCGUUUUUCACGAAAAAUCAUCUAAUUAAUCAUAAUACAGUAUAAUAAUCCUAUAGUUUUUACGUGCAUCCUAAUCACGAAAAAGUGUGUUAGACAAAAGAAUAGAAAAUCACGCAUAUUAUAU